GCUCCAUCUCCCUGCGCACCCCCCCCCCCCCCAAUUCGAGCACUGUACCUACCUGUUUCAUUGUUUUUACACACUACAAUGAUUUUAAUAAAUUGAAUGUUCACUUAAUAACAACUCAUCUCAGUCAAAUUAUUAAUGAGGAACUAUUUUUUACUUAAUUAAUGUCUCAUUUUAAUGUAAUCAUUUAUUAAAAAAAAAUAAAAACACUUAGAGAUUAAUAUUGCUGGAAUGUUGAUUUGGUUAAAUAAAUAAUAAUAAUAUAGUAAAAUUGUUCUUGACUAUUUUAAUAGAAAAUAUCAUAGAUUUUUAAAUAUUUCAUUAAUGCUUGUAAAAUUUAAACUUUUAAUAGUGUGUAAAUUGUCAUUCUUUAUGACGGAAAAAGUUUCCAGGUUUCAGCACAGGUAUUUUUCUUAUGAGAUGACUACAUGCUCUGAUAUUUUAAACAAUAUAAAUAUGACCUAGGCCUACACACAAUAACGAAAGGAAUGUACAACAAUAUAUAAUUAUGCUGAAGUGGUUAGAUCUGUUAGUCGAUAUUAUAAUAACAGUGCCAAACAGAAAUAUUUUGGUGAAGAUGCAUUUAAUUGUACCCAAUGUGGGCGUACAUACCGUCGAAAGAAAAAUAUAUUUGGAUUCAGAAUAAUGGAAAAUUGUAUAACUGCCCCAACAAGAACUGUCACCGCAAUUAUAAAACUAAACCAGGCUUAUACAACCAUUUAAAAUAUGAAUGCAAUGUACCGCCAAAAUACCAUUGCAAUAUUUGUAACAAAAAAUUUAAGCAACCAGGAAACUUUAAAAUCCACAUGAAAUCACUUCAUUUUGUAACAUUAAUUAAAAUUUAAAGAUUUAAUACAUUUUUAUUGAAAAGUGCACAUAAAUCCAUGUGAUACUAUAUUUUCUUGGGAGAACACACUGAUGUUUUCCGAGCCAGCUAUUUACACACAACAUAGGAAAUUAACAUUCUGCAUACAAUAUAUUUUUUUGGUUUUUAAUAUUUAAAUAAAUUUACAUUUUCAAAUGUAAAGUUAAGAAUAUUUUCAAAGAUUUAUUACUAUAAUUUUUCUAUAUUAUAAAAUAUUAUUCUUAAUAAGCGAUUGUAUUUUUACAACAAAAAUGUGUAGAAAAUCCAAGAUAGUAGCCAUUUAAAAAUUGUAUGGUUGUUACUUGUUUAUGUAGGUAUACCCUUAGAUUAAAAAUGUCAAAAUAUUGAUUAUUCAGAGUAUAAAUUUCCUGUGUAUGUGAGAGAUAACUUAAGAGUAUAUCUAUCUUUGUAUUAUAGUAUAAUGUAUUUAUUAAUAAAUUAUUACCAUGAUAUUUUCUACAUUGUAAAUAUUAACUUGGUACUCUAUAUUUAUUUUGUAUGGAUAAACUAUGAUUAUUUUAUAUCUAUUUGAUUUUAAAUUUAUGCUUAAAUAUUAACUGUUUUUACUUAUCUAAAGGUACUAUAUAUUGUAAUCAUCAUUUGAACUUGUUAUUGUAUUUUAGUUGUGUAAUUUAAAAUGAUCAAAUUGUGAAAUUGAUAUGUUCUUACUUUACUGCUUAGUAAGAGUAAUCUUGCUGUAAUUGUAAAGAUAUCUUGUAGAAUUAACUCAAUAUUGUCUUACUGUUGUAUUUUGUUCUAAUUUCUUAGUUUUGUAAUUGUUUAAAUAUAUAUCUGUUCUGUUUAAAUUAAAAAUUGAAUUACCUUUAUAAUAUAUUACCCAAAUGUUAAUCAGAUAUAAGAAAUAAUAAUAACUAAUCACGUUAAUGUAAGAUUCUUCAAACUUAUUUAGCAUAAUUUAUUUUAAGCUUUUUUUUGUAAAGAAAGCAAUUUUUUUAUAAUUUUUAACUUAGAAUAGUUUAAGAAUAUGCUUUUUAAACUGUAUUCCUUCAUUUUGGCACUUAAUUAAAUUAUAACAGUGCAUGGUUUACUCUUAGAUUAUUUUUCACAUUAACUUACUAACAAUAUAUUGAUAUUUUGCAGCUAUGCCAUUAUUAUUCAACCCAAAAUCUGGUAGAAUGAACAAAUAUCCUGGUCCAUCUUCAGAUGGUCUUUUUUAUUGUACAAACCAAUGUGGUAAGAAGUAUAAAUCUAAACAAGCUAUCAGUGUACAUAUGCGUUAUGAGUGUGGUGUAAAACCCAAGUUUUACUGUCAAGAAUGUAACAAAUAUUUUAAACAACCUGUCAGCUUCAAAGCACAUCAAAUGAAUGUCCACAAUCUGAUAGUUUGAGGAUUGAACUUGAAAGUUGUAUCUUUUAUCCACUAUUCAAGAUGAAGUAAUUUUAUUCGUAUAUUUUAUUGCUGUUGUUUAUUCAAUUUACCACGGUAUUCGUGUAAGAAAUGUGGUAAUUCAUAUAAAUAUAAAGCAAACCUCCGUAGACAUGAAAUAUAUGAAUGUGGUAUUGAGAAAAUGUUCAUUUGUACAAUUUGUGAACGUAGAUUUCAUCAAAAAUCUAAUCUAAAUAGGCACUAUAGUUUAUUACACAAUUUAUGAGUUCAAUAUAAUAAAUGUAAUUAAAUACUACAUAAUAUGUAUAAAAAUGUAUAUUGCCAUGUUUGUUACUGUUUUUAUUAUAUAUUUAUAUAAUUUUAUGAUAUCUUUAUCAGGAGAUAAUAAAAUAGCCCUUGUCCAAACUCAGAAAGUUAUUACUGCUACUUAUUUUUUAUGUACGUUUAAGAGAAAUCUGCAUUAAAAGAGUGAAAAUAGUUGCUGUCUAUACUAUUAUAUUAUAUGAUACAAUUUAAAGGUCCUAUUUUUAUUUACAAAAACUAUUUAUUUUUAAUAAGAAAUAAUAUAUUCAGAUUUUCCUAGAUAAAAACCAUGUCAAACAAAUCAAAUUCUAUAUUUACCCACCAUUACCCCAUUCCCAUGUUCUUAUUUACUUAAGAAUUGAGAAACGCCGCAAUAUAUAAAGAAAAAUCAACUGUGUACAGCUUAAUAUUAUAAUUGUAUAAGAAUGUGAGGUAAAGACCACAGAAAGAAAAAAAUAUCUUAUGUGUGAGUAUAACUUGGUCAUUUAUUUGUGACUGUGUGUCAGUGUGAUCACAUUUAUAUAUAUAUAAUUUGAAAUACUAUGGGACAAAUCAAAACUGAAAUCUCUCUAAGAUCCUUUAAUAUCUUACAUUGUAGAAUAAUGAGUGAAUUAACAAUUAUAUUUUGUAUGUUACUAGUAUAUGUUGCUACUUACCUAAGUAUUUAUUUUGUUCCUGUUGUACAAAUUAUGUUAAACAGUGCAUUUUCUUAUUGAAUGAACUGUUAAUCUUAAUGUUUCUUUUACCCUUAUGUGUUAUUUAGUUAAUAAAAAUAAUUUGCGUCUUAAAUUCAUUGUUAUUAUUUAUUUAUAUUGUUGUUUCAAAUGGGCGGAGCAACAAAAAAUAUGUAACGAUCAAUCAAAUAUAAUAUAGAUCAACUUAGGAAAUGAUUUGACAGAAAAUAAAUUACAGAGUUUUGUUAAGUAAAAGAUUAAAACAUAAAUUAAUUCUAUACCCAAUUAAAUCAGGGAUUGGCAACCCUUGUCCAGCAGACUGCAUGUGGCCCUCCUAAGUCAUAGUAAUUUUAUGUUUCCUGCGAUUAAAAUGUAUAAUUUAUAUAAAAAUCAAGAACUUAGAUAGUAUCGAUUGAAAUCUGCAUCUGCGGAAUAAAACUUUUUAGAUACCUUGUUAAAUCAAUAAACCUAAUAGUUGAAUGAACUUAAGUUGAUGAACUUAAAUAAACUAAAUUUAAUAUGAUUAUACAUUUUUGUUCUAAAUAAAAUAAGGUAUAUUCAAAUUGUGGCCCGUGUAAAAUUGUGUCUUUUUUUUAGCCCUUGACAUUGAAAAUGUUGCUGGACCUCUGCAUUAAACAAUCUCAUUUAGUUAAAAAAAAUAUAUAAUUAUUAACAAGUCACAUAACUCUAAUCAAAGAAGUAUUUUGAACAUAUCUAUAGAUUGGUAUAGCACAUAAACCAUUUAAUUUUACCCCCGGGAGCUAAAAAGUUUAUUUACCUAAUUAAUCUGGGCAAAAUACAGGGGGCGGCAGUUAAAUCCGACGAUUUUUCACCAAACAAAUAAAAAUUACACAAGCAAAAUUUUAUGUUAUAUAUUUAAAAACUUCCUUUUUAAAGAUUGUGACAGGCAAAUGCCUUCCUUGGUUAGCCACACAUUACUACUACAUACAUCAUUACUUUUGUAAUACGCUUUUACCACGAAUGCAUGCUGUUUACUCGACCAAUACUCCAUGAUUACUAAAUUCCAGGUAUUUAAAUGCUAAGAACAUUCCCGAAAUCUACCACUUUAGCCACGCUCACCAGUUCAUUUUAAAUUGUCAAGUUUGACCGCCGCACCCUGUAAUUUAAUACUAUAAAUGAAACAAAUGGUUAGCCUUUUCCUUUUUGCAUCUAAAGAUUUGAGUUUUAAAUAUAAUAAAAUAAGCUGGAGUGAUCGAUAAAUAUAAAAUGAAUGACAAAUCAGCCUUAGAAAUUGAUUCAAUAAACUUGAAUCAGACCAAUAGAAGACUGUGACCGAUCAACUAAAUUAUAACCAAACAAAAAAAAAAUAUAAAGAUUUUAGUGAUUGUGAAUUACUAAAACCAUACAGCAUUAAUUAUUAAUAAAUUUGAUUCAUUAAAUCUAACAUUGGAGAUGCAUUGUUUAGAAAUAUCCAAGCAUAAUUUAUUUGCAUCAGUUAUUAAAAUUAUAGAGAACAUUUUGAAACAGUUCCUCGUGUAUCAAUUUAAAAAUCUAAAAUAUUUUACUAUUAUAAGCAAAGAUUAACACAUUUGAAUUGCUGAAUUUAAUAUUGUUGUAUUUUAUAUAUUAAGUAAUAGUGGAGCUAGAUGGAAACCUUGAGGUACUCUAAUACUUACAUUUUAUAGCGUAUUUAUUAUACAAUCGAUAAUUAGUUAGUGUUAUUUUUUUUUGUCCUAACAAUUUUCAAAAAACUCAAAAUUGGUAUGAUGGUUUGAAGAGUACGUUUUUUACUUUGAAUUCCUAAAAAAUUAUAUUAUUAUUUUAGAUGUUCAAAAAUAAACGUAACACAUUAAAAAAUUUGUCCACCACAACUAAAUUUAAGUAUACUACCCUUUGAAUAUACUACCCAAUUUCCACUACAAACUAUCCUAUUCAAUAACAAUUUAAUAUAAGAACUGAAAUUUAAAUUAACAAAACAUUGUUUUUAUUUAGCCAUUAUUGUAUUUCUAUCAAAUAUUACGUUAGAAUCUUGGAUAGUACAAUUUUUCAUAUACGUUUUUUGACAUUUAUUUAGAUGAUGAUUAAUAACUAGUUAUGUUAUUUUAAAAUAGUGAUUACUAACUAUGCAUGUUUGUAAAAAAUACUUUAAAAUUAUUAUGGUUUUUUUAGUUGGUAUUAAACAUUUAUUUAAUAUUUAUUUAAAAAUAUCCUUUUUUGUUUCAGUUAUAAAAUGGUUAGGAUGCUUGGACCAUUUAGCGAAACCUGACCCAGCAAAAUGCCCUAACAAUAAUUGUCAACGGAAAUUUGGCGGGUAUACUAGAAAGUAUAAUUUAAAAAAUCAUCUUCUUAACGAAUGCGGAAUUAUUAUAAAAUGUCAACUCUGCUCUAAACGGUUUGGGCAUCUUAAAAGCCUUCGUUACCACAUGGGAGUAGCACAUGCAACUAUUUUAUAGGUAGUUUCAAAGUUUAUGAAACAAAUUUGAAUUUAUGUUUGAAUACCUAUAAAAAGUCUAAUAAUUGUAUCUAUUCAAAAUCAUGUUUUACUAUGCAUAUUAUAUAAGUUUUUAUUUGUAUUUAAUACUUAACUUGAGUACAUUUUAUGUCAUGUAUUAUGACUAGUAUUUACCUUUGUAUAUUUAUAUAAUUUAUAUUCUAGUUGUAUUUGAAAUAAAUUAAAUGAUUUAAAUAUAACUACAACUAUGUACAGACUAAAAAUAGAAACUGUGAAGCUACUAGCCAAACAUAAAACAAAUAUAGUGGACAUCUAAUUCCAAGUAUCAAUUUCACCUCAACUCUUUUUUGUAACAUACUUAGUUUCUGGACAGCCCUUUACCGUUUUUUUAAUAGUUACUAGUAUUUUGAUCUCUUACUAUUACAAUUUCUAAUUAAAUUAAGUUGGUUAUGAAGGGUUCAAUCAAUAGACCUUUAUGAUUUUUAUUAUAUUAUUGUUUUUGUAAAUAUAUUUUAACCUGUUU
rnacentral:sRNA from 1 species